GUCACGGAUUGAGCUUUGAUGAGCUGGGUUUUCUUGAGCUCCGGAUCAUGUUUUUCCUCUUCAGGUACACAGCAAAAAGAAGUGCUAAUUGUCAAACACCUCAAUGAUUGUAAGAACAAGAAGGAGAAAGAAAAGAGACUGUUCUUCAAGUGGAAGGAAGGUUCAGACUAUCCUGUUUGUACAAUUUUGAAAAUUGAGAAAAUGUCAGUUGCUUGUGAGCUGUUGCAAUGAAAUAAAAAUCCUCAUCUAUUUAUUUAUUUGGUGUGU
rnacentral:lncRNA from 1 species